rnacentral:rRNA from 1 species
GGGUUGUGAGGUUAAGCGACUAAGCGUACACGGUGGAUGCCUAGGCAGUCAGAGGCGAUGAAGGGCGUGCUAAUCUGCGAAAAGCGUCGGUAAGGUGAUAUGAACCGUUACAACCGACGAUACCCGAAUGGGGAAACCCAGUGCAAUUCGUUGCACUAUUGCAUGGUGAAUACAUAGCCAUGCAAGGCGAACCGGGGGAACUGAAACAUCUAAGUACCCCGAGGAAAAGAAAUCAACCGAGAUUCCCCCAGUAGCGGCGAGCGAACGGGGAGGAGCCCAGAGUCUGAAUCAGUUUGUGUGUUAGUGGAAGCGUCUGGAAAGUCGCAGGGUACAGGGUGAUACUCCCGUACACAAAAACACACUUGCUGUGAACUCGAUGAGUAGGGCGGGACACGUGACAUCCUGUCUGAAUAUGGGGGGGACCAUCCUCCAAGGCUAAAUACUCCUGACUGACCGAUAGUGAACCAGUACCGUGAGGGAAAGGCGAAAAGAACCCCGGCGAGGGGAGUGAAAUAGAACCUGAAACCGUGUACGUACAAGCAGUGGGAGCACCUUCGUGGUGUGACUGCGUACCUUUUGUAUAAUGGGUCAGCGACUUAUAUUUUGUAGCAAGGUUAACCGAAUAGGGGAGCCGUAGGGAAACCGAGUCUUAACUGGGCGUCUAGUUGCAAGGUAUAGACCCGAAACCCGGUGAUCUAGCCAUGGGCAGGUUGAAGGUUGGGUAACACUAACUGGAGGACCGAACCGACUAAUGUUGAAAAAUUAGCGGAUGACUUGUGGCUGGGGGUGAAAGGCCAAUCAAACCGGGAGAUAGCUGGUUCUCCCCGAAAGCUAUUUAGGUAGCGCCUCGUGAACUCAUCUUCGGGGGUAGAGCACUGUUUCGGCUAGGGGGUCAUCCCGACUUACCAAACCGAUGCAAACUCCGAAUACCGAAGAAUGUUAUCACGGGAGACACACGGCGGGUGCUAACGUCCGUCGUGAAGAGGGAAACAACCCAGACCGCCAGCUAAGGUCCCAAAGUCAUGGUUAAGUGGGAAACGAUGUGGGAAGGCAUAGACAGCCAGGAUGUUGGCUUAGAAGCAGCCAUCAUUUAAAGAAAGCGUAAUAGCUCACUGGUCGAGUCGGCCUGCGCGGAAGAUGUAACGGGGCUAAACCAUGCACCGAAGCUGCGGCAGCGACACUUAGGUGUUGUUGGGUAGGGGAGCGUUCUGUAAGCCGUUGAAGGUGACCUGUGAGGGUUGCUGGAGGUAUCAGAAGUGCGAAUGCUGACAUAAGUAACGAUAAUGCGGGUGAAAAGCCCGCACGCCGGAAGACCAAGGGUUCCUGUCCAACGUUAAUCGGGGCAGGGUGAGUCGACCCCUAAGGCGAGGCUGAAAAGCGUAGUCGAUGGGAAACAGGUUAAUAUUCCUGUACUUGGUGUUACUGCGAAGGGGGGACGGAGAAGGCUAGGCUAGCCGGGCGACGGUUGUCCCGGUUUAAGCAUGUAGGCGGAGCGACUUGGUAAAUCCGGUUGCUUAUCAACGCUGAGGUGUGAUGACGAGUCACUACGGUGAUGAAGUAGUUGAUGCCAAGCUUCCAGGAAAAGCCUCUAAGCAUCAGGUAACAUUAAAUCGUACCCCAAACCGACACAGGUGGUCAGGUAGAGAAUACUCAGGCGCUUGAGAGAACUCGGGUGAAGGAACUAGGCAAAAUGGUGCCGUAACUUCGGGAGAAGGCACGCUGGCAUUAGGUAAAGAGACUUGCUCUCGGCGCCGAAGCCAGUCGCAGAUACCAGCUGGCUGCAACUGUUUAAUAAAAACACAGCACUGUGCAAACACGAAAGUGGACGUAUACGGUGUGACGCCUGCCCGGUGCUGGAAGGUUAAUUGAUGGGGUCAGCCGCAAGGCGAAGCUCUUGAUCGAAGCCCCAGUAAACGGCGGCCGUAACUAUAACGGUCCUAAGGUAGCGAAAUUCCUUGUCGGGUAAGUUCCGACCUGCACGAAUGGCGUAAUGAUGGCCAGGCUGUCUCCACCCGAGACUCAGUGAAAUUGAACUCGCUGUGAAGAUGCAGUGUACCCGCGGCAAGACGGAAAGACCCCGUGAACCUUUACUAUAGCUUGACACUGAACAUUGAGCCUUGAUGUGUAGGAUAGGUGGGAGGCAUCGAAGCGUGGACGCCAGUCUGCGUGGAGCCAACCUUGAAAUACCACCCUUUAAUGUUUGAUGUUCUAACUCGGCCCCGUGAUCCGGGGUGAGGACAGUGUCUGGUGGGUAGUUUGACUGGGGCGGUCUCCUCCCAAAGAGUAACGGAGGAGCACGAAGGUUAGCUAAUCACGGUCGGACAUCGUGAGGUUAGUGCAAAGGCAUAAGCUAGCUUGACUGCGAGAGUGACGGCUCGAGCAGGUACGAAAGUAGGUCUUAGUGAUCCGGUGGUUCUGAAUGGAAGGGCCAUCGCUCAACGGAUAAAAGGUACUCCGGGGAUAACAGGCUGAUACCGCCCAAGAGUUCAUAUCGACGGCGGUGUUUGGCACCUCGAUGUCGGCUCAUCACAUCCUGGGGCUGAAGUAGGUCCCAAGGGUAUGGCUGUUCGCCAUUUAAAGUGGUACGCGAGCUGGGUUUAGAACGUCGUGAGACAGUUCGGUCCCUAUCUGCCGUGGGCGUUGGAAGAUUGAGAGGGGCUGCUCCUAGUACGAGAGGACCGGAGUGGACGAAUCACUGGUGUUCGGGUUGUCAUGCCAAUGGCAUUGCCCGGUAGCUAAAUUCGGAAGAGAUAACCGCUGAAAGCAUCUAAGCGGGAAACUUGCCUCGAGAUGAGUCUUCCCUGGGGCUUUAAGCCCCCUGAAGGAACGUUAAAGACUAUGACGUUGAUAGGCUGGGUGUGUAAGUGCAGCGAUGCAUUGAGCUAACCAGUACUAAUGAUCCGUGAGGCUUAACCUUACAACACCGAAGGUGUUUUAG